rnacentral:rRNA from 1 species
GACGAACGCUGGCGGCGUGCUUAACACAUGCAAGUCGAGCGGAAAGGCCACUUCGGUGGUACUCGAGCGGCGAACGGGUGAGUAACACGUGAGUAAUCUGCCCCUGGCUUUGGGAUAGCCACCGGAAACGGUGAUUAAUACCGGAUACGACCACUUCUCGCAUGGGAUGGUGGUGGAAAGUUUUUUCGGCCAGGGGUGUGCUCGCGGCCUAUCAGCUUGAUGGUGAGGUAAUGGCUCACCAUGGCUUCGACGGGUAGCCGGCCUGAGAGGGUGACCGGUCACACUGGGACUGAGACACGGCCCAGACUCCUACGGGAGGCAGCAGUGGGGAAUAUUGGACAAUGGGCGGAAGCCUGAUCCAGCAACGCCGCGUGAGGGAUGACGGCCUGCGGGUUGUAAACCUCUUUCAGCAGGGACGAAGCGCAAGUGACGGUACCUGCAGAAGAAGCACCGGCCAACUACGUGCCAGCCGCCGCGGUAA